CAAAGAGCAGUCGAUUGGAGAAGCAUUGAUUCCAGGGCAAAAGGGGGCUCUCGGGCAAAACGCGGCUGAAACCGCCUGACGCACGUCACAUCAAGUGACAGUUGUCAGCCCCUACACCCCCAAAAACCCUAAAAACCUCUACCCACGACGUCACACCCUAACUAUCCAACUUCCCAUAAUCACCAACCCCUUUCUCGGCCUUUCGAAUACAAAACCACCACCAGCCGCCAUGGUCUCCACCAGACCCAAAAACAAACUCCGAGGAAUACCCCAAGGAACAGAAAUCGAUCUCACCGGAGAAAGCCCCCC
rnacentral:lncRNA from 1 species